UUCUUGCGACUCUCGAGAGCUUGAGACAGAGAGAGAGGGAAAAGGCGAUGCGCGGGGGUGGGGGUAGACGUCGAACGACGAGCCGACUCAUCGAAAGGAACCGAUGAAAGUGGGAAAACUCGGGGAAGAGAAAUGGCGGGAGUGCCGCCGACGGAACGGUAGAACAAGAUGGAACAUCGGUGAUGUCGUAUAAGUGCGCCGCGUGAUAUUUUAGCGAACUCAUUCGGUCCGGCGAGUUUCCUGCCGACAAGAAACAGAGCGUUCGGUUCGACGCCGAUAAAUGAUACACGAUAACAAUAACAUAGAAAUUCGUUGGGAUCGUGUAACAUUUAUAGCCGAAAUAAAUAAGUAUAAAUACAUUUUUACGGAAUUUCGCGUGAGAGUAUUGAUAGCAUUUAAAUGAAUUUCGGCUUCUAUUCGAGCUGAUGGUAUAAGUAAUAUAAUAUAAAAAAAACGAUAACGGAUCAGCGCAUGUCGAAUUUGUUGUUCGAAGGAUGUUUCGCUAUCGAUUUGUGAUUUUAUGCAUUGUUAAAAUAUCGCCGUGCCGCAGAAGGAGAGAAGGUUAACAGAGGAUAGAGCGGGGCAAGUAAGCAGCGGAGAAUAGGAGGAGAAACCCGCGAGAGAUCAAGUUAGAGUGCCGGCACAAAAAACCUGUCCCGCAUAAUUACAUUAUCGGUCACAUCUCGUUCGACUUCUGUCCGCGCGGCUGUCUCGCUUGCCUGUCCGAACGUGCUCCCGUGGACGGAGAGGGCUGCCCGGCGGCCCAGCCGUCCUCGAAGACGAUGCGACGGAGCCCCAUAGGAACCGCAGGGGGUCCCCAUCCCUGCCCCCUUCGUUCGAUCUUUCCUCGAGCUUCGAUCCGGAUCGGAGAGAACUCCGACCGAUUGACAGAUAUACUCGACGCUAGAGUCACCUUGCGUCGUUUCUGCCAGGUUUUGAGGUUAUCGUUCGGUUCGAACGCACGGGUACACCGCGCUACAGCAAUGUCUCCCUAACUGACGCUUAGAUUGUGCAGAAAAAUGAACAAUUUGAGAAGAGGA